AAGCAAGGGAACCAGUUUGAGAGAGUUGCCACUGUCGAUAUCUUCGAAUCUGUACAUUUAUUAUAUCUCCAUCGGCAAUGGACUCAGCAGCACGGGCAAUCAUGCUCAUCCUUUUCAUCCCACUCUCAUCCUUACCAAUUGAACUUGGCCUAUAAUUAAUAUAAUUUUCCUGAAUAAGAAGAGGAACCAAAUCAGGAUCACUCAUGCUAAGGUCAAUCCGCUCAUCCAUUCUCAGCUUACCUCCAUUAAAGCCAAAAAGCUUAUCAACAGCUGUGAAUGGAGAAAUAUCUUCAUCCUUUGCACUGCUAAGAAGGCGUUGUCUGACAUCAUCAUACUUAAUGACUGACAUGGAGAGACUCAUAUAUUGCAAUUGAUUUAGUGCCAUGCGCAUAUCUCCAUUCACUCGUUCUGCAAGUUCCUCUAGAGCAAGGUCGUUAACUUGAAGGCCUUCUGCAUUUGCUACUUGCAUUAACCUCUUUGCCAUCUGUUGUUUUGUAGGUUUCCGGAAACUGAGAAGCAAGCAGUAGUUCACUAGACUUUUUAGUUUCUGACUAUAACGAUCAUUACAAAUGCAGACAAU
rnacentral:misc_RNA from 1 species